ensembl:snoRNA SNORD83 Small nucleolar RNA SNORD83
GCCACAUGAUGUCACCUAGAUUGCACUAGCACUAUGUGCAAAGAUGACUUUUUAUCUAUCACCCAAUGACUGAUGGCU